rnacentral:lncRNA from 10 species
GAGAUGGUAACGAGAAGGGAGGGGAGGAGAGAAGAGGAGGAGGUGAAGGCUCUGGGAGGCCGGGACCACCCACAGGGAUGUUCAAGAACUGGGCAGGAGUGAUGUGGGGAAGCGACCGUGAAUCCGGGGUUAAAAUCUUCCAGGAGUGAGGGACGACCUGGGAUUCGUAGAUGACUCCAGAGUAAAAGGCAGAGUCUGAAGGUCCCAGCUCAAAGCCUGGGUAGGAGGGAAGUAGAACAUUCUGGAAAGAAAGUGAGGAGUGAGAGGACACCUCCCCCCUCCCCAGCACCAGGGGAAACAGAACCUCUGGGUGAGUUGCAGUGCAGGAAGCUUCAGGCAGAGCAAGAAGGUGAGGGGACCCUUGCGGGAGAUGAGAGGAGGCAGCACCAGCGCCAGGGCGUCCCCUCUGCCUGUCUGCACCUGCCUGGGGCAGCUGCCUUCUCUGCUCCUCUGCCUAGGGUUUCUCCAGCCCAGACCCCUAGAGUUGUUCUAUUCAGCACCUGAGAGGAGACCCUCAGCAGCCAGGAGAGGAAGCCGUCGGGGAGAACCCCAUGUCCCAGCCUCUCCACCUUCUGGAGGACCAAGGGUCUCCAGUGGAAUGGACCCUGGGUUCCCAUUGAGGUUACCUGCUCAUCAAAAGACACACUUUGGGCUUUUCUCUCUGUCUCACCUGAGCUUCCUGGGACCACCUCCCCUGUCCCUACAUCUUUAGCUCAGGGUCAGCCUUGGGAGGAACGCUAACCAAGCCCAGGGACUCUCUGGACGCUGGAUAUUAGCUGCAAAGGCCACCGUGGGAACGCUGUGGGUGAGGAUUAGGAUAGAGGAGCCAAAAAGGAAAGAUCUCACCUAGUGGGAGGCAGGUGAACACCCAGUGCCCCAGGUUCCCUUGUGGGCAGGGUCGGGGGGAUGUGACGGGGAGAGGGGGCUUAGAGGGCUUUGUCCUACCAUCCAGCUGUCAGGAGGGGCUUCCCCUCGUUCACGCCAAUGGCAGCGCCAGGUGUUCAGGGAGCUCUUGCGUUCAAACCACGAAGAAGACGCAGUUUAAUCUCAUCCCACGCAGAUAAAGAUGCAGCAAUUAUGCUCCUCGCCUUUAUCCAAAGGAGUUGAGACGUCCACGCAAAAACCUGCACACCGAUGUGUACAGCAGCCUUAUUCAUAAUGACCAAAACUUGGAAGCAACCCACAAGUCCUUCAGUAGGUGAAGGGUUGAGCCGCGGUGCAUCCAGACAGUGCAAUAUUAUUCAGCGCUAAAAAGACACGAGCUAUCAAGGCCUGAAAAGACAUGGAGGAAACUUCCACGAUAUUAGUAGGUGAGAGAAGCCCAUCUGAAAAGGCUACACACCGUAUGAGUCCAACUCUUUGACAUUCUAGAAAGGACAAAACUACAGAGAAAGUAAAAUAAUCAGUGGUUGCCAGGAAUUUGGAGAGAGGGGUGAACAGGUGGAGACAGAUUUUUAGGGCAGUGAAACUCUUUGUAUGAUGUUAAAAUGGGGAUACAGGGCAUUAGACAUUUGGUAAAACCCAGAGAAUUUACAAUAGAAGGCCAGGUGUGGUGGCUCAUGCCUGUAAUCCCAACACUUUGGGAGGCAGAGGCAGUGGAUCACCUGAGGUCAGGAGUUUGAGACCAGUCUGGCCAACAUGGUGAAACCCCAUCUACACUAAAAAUACAAAAAGUAGCCAGACAUGGUGGUGGGCACCUGUAAUCCCAGCUACUUGGGAGGCCGAGGCAGGAGAAUCGCUUGAACCCGGCAGGUUGCAGUGAGCCAAGAUCGUGCCACUGCACUCCAACCUGGGUGACAGAGUGAGAUUUUUGUCUCAAAAAAAAAAUAAAAAAGAGAGAGAGAGAAUUUACAAUAGAAAAUUAGAGUGAACCCCGAUGUAAACUACGGCCUUUAGUUAAUAAUAAUGUAUCAACACUGCUCAUCAAUUGUAAAAAUGUGCCACAUUAAUGCAUGAUGUUAAUACCAGGGGGAAUUGUGCUGGGGGGGAGAGGGUGAUAUGAUUUGGAUCUGUGUCCCCCACAAAUCUCAUAUUGAAUUGUAAUUCCCAAAUUUUUUUUUUUUGAGACAGAGCCUUGCCCUGUUGCCCAGGCUGGAGUGCAGUGGUGCCAUCACAGCUCACUGCAACCUCCACCCCCCAGGCUCAAGUGAUCCUCCCACCCCAGCCACCUGAGUAGCUGGGACUACAGGCGUGCACCACCAUGCCCAGCUAAUUUUUUUGUAUUUUUGGUAGAGAGAGGGUUUCUCGAUGUUGCCCCCAGGCUGCUCUUGAACUCCUGGGCUCAGGUGAUCUGCCCACCUCGGCCUCUGCAAGUGCUGGGAUUACAGGUGUGAGCCACGGUGCCUGGCCAGGCCGUGUGAGAAUGAACGAGUACAGGGGGGUAUAUGGGAAUUCUCUGGACUUUCUGCUCAAUAUUAUUGUAAACCUAAAACUUCUCUAAGAAAUAAAGGCUAUCAAGUCGAAACAAAAACAAAAACAAGAAAAGCUCUAAACCCGGAUUUCACAGGAGCCACGCUUGCUGGCGACCACAGCUGGUAGGGAACCCUGUUUCUCUGAGGCUGACGUACCUCUCCUUGGUCAGAACCCCGCCCUCGUCCUACCCACCCCCACUCAGCCCCUUCCGGCUGCUCCGGAGGCUGGGAGACCAAAGCAGCGAGAGCUGGGACCCCUCACCGCCUUCCCCACACCCUUGUCAGGGCCGGGCAGCAGUCAGGGCGGUGGUGGCAGGCGCCAGCCGAUGUCUGGUCCAGGAGUCCCUGGCCAACCCCAGAGAUGAGGCUGUGGCCCUGCCAAGCUUCCUGGGCUGCACCUCCUGAAGGGGGACCCCAUCCCAUUGUCUAUGUCUGAGCCACACCUGGACAAACAUGUUCUGUCUCUGAGCCCUAAAGCUCCGUUUCCUCUGGUGCGAGAAUAAGAUCAGGAAGUCCUUAUACACAGUGUCCCUGUCCUGGCCACCCUGGAAUGGGAACAAAGCCUCUCCUUUCAUGGGGUCUUUCUGAGACUCAGUGACAUUCCCAUGAGACCCAUGGCUAUGGCCCGGGCUCCCUGUUCAAACACAAGUCGUCAGUGACCUGACCCAAGGGACAUGCCGGUCUGAUACCAGCCAGCAGCCGGUGUGCCGGAGGCUUAUCAGAGCUGCUCGGGUUACCCCGGGGAGUGCCGCCCUGGCCCCGGCCCCAUCAGUGCACCUGGCCGUGCCCAGCCUCUAAUCCAGCCGGACUGUGGGCUGCUUUCUGGAGACCUGGGGUUCUGUGAAUGUGACCAGCAACUACCUGCAGGAGUGGGGUCGCUGCGUGGGAGGGACUCAGGCCCCCGAGUCCCUUUAUAACUGUUCCUUUAGGACAGCCUGUAGGGCUUUUUGGAAAAAUGACACUGGCUACAACACAGAUGGACCCUGAGGAUAUUGUGGUGAGCAAAAUAAGCCCGUCAUAAAAGAAGGAAUGCUCUGGGGUCCCACUUCCAUGAGCUCCCUAGAGCCGUCACACCCACAGAGAUGUGGCCAGGCGCAGUGGCUCACACCUGGAAUCCCAGCACGUUGGGAGGCCAAGGCAGUAGGAUCACCUGAGGUCAGGAGUUUGAGACCAGCCUUGCCAACAUGGAGAAACCCCAUCUCUACUAAAAAUACCAAAAAUUAGCCAGGCAUGGUGGCGUGUGCCUGUAAUCCCAACUACUCAGGAGGCUGAGACAGGAGAAUCACUUGAACCCGGGAGGUGGAAGUUGCAGUGACCGAGAUUAUGCCAUUGCACUCCAGCCUGGGUAACAAGAGCGAAAUUCCAUCUCAAACAAACAAACAAACAAGCAACAAAAAAAUCCACAGAGAUGUAAAGGGAGAGUGGUGGGGUCAGGAGCUGGGGGAUGGGAGGGGGAGUGAGUGUUCAAUGAGGGCAGAGUUUAAGUCUGGGAAGACAAGAAUGUUCUAGAGAUGAUGGUGGUAAUGAUUGUAUAACCAUGUGAAUGUAUGGUUGAAAUGGUGAACUGUUACUACAAACAUAAAAUAAAACACAAAUGCUGCUCACCCCAAACUCUAGAAUAGGAAAUAAUUGUUUUUCCUUCAAAAUGUAGAUGAGAGAGGUGCUGCCAAAAAUUCUGUAAGACCUCUUCUUCUAAGCUUUGCACAAGAAACUUGCACAAUAAUUAAUCAAAGUACUUGAAAUAUAAAAAAUGAAAAUGUUUGGGCCGGGUGCGGUGGUUCUUGCCUGUAAUCCCAGUGCUUUGGGAGGCUGAGGCAGGAGGAUCGGUUGAGGCCAGGAGUUCAAGACUAGCCUGGGCAAAAUAGCGAAAACUUGUCCGUACAAAACAUUAAAUUAAAAAGAAAUGAAAAAGAAAAAACGACUCUACUAAUAAAAUAUUAUGAUUAUUAUCAGAGACAGGGUCUCACACUGUCACCCAGGCUGGAGCAGUGGCAUGAUCAUAGUUCACUACAGCCUGGAGUUCCUGGGCUCCAGUGAUCCUCCCAUCACAGCCUCCCAAGUAGCUGUGACUACAGGCACGUGCCACCACACCCAGCUAAUUUUUUUGUAUUUUUUAGAGAACGAGUCUCGCUAUGUAUGAUGCCCAGGCUGUUCUUGGAACUUCUCUGGGGCUAAGUGAUUCUCCCGUAUCAGCCUCCCAAAGUGCUGGGGAUUACAGACAGGAGCCACCAUGCCUGGCAUAAAAUAUAUUUUUUAAGAGUAUGAAAAUCACUUCUGUUUCACCCUCUACAACAAUGCAAGAAUGUUCCAGAGUGUGAAGGAGCUGCUUGUGGCAUCCCACAGUCCCUUGUCACCCAUAAGAAAAGUCCAUGCCCUUCCACAGCAUCCGGCCCUCCUGCUGCUCAGCCCCGCUGCUCUACAGAGCCCCCCCACACUCGCCCCAGGGUUCCCGCCUGCCCAGACCACUUCUUGCCUGGCCCAGCUAGCAUCCCCCUCCUCGGCCCAGGCCCCUCCCUCCCCUCAUGCCCAUCAUGCCCCAUCCAUCCCCAGCACCCUAGUCCUCUUUCCAGAAGCUCCUGCCUGCAGGCUCUGCCAUAGCCGCAUCCUGUCUGCUCACUGAGCUCAUUCCCCACCAGCAGCACCAGUCUUGUGAGAAGCUCCUCGGGCCCUGCCCCCUGUCUCCUUGAACUGGGAUGGACUGAACUAUGUCUCCUGGAAUAGACUGAACUGUGUCUUUCCCAUGCUCCUAUGAGGACAUCCUCAUCCCCAGAGUGAAGGUAUUUGGAGACAGGGUCUUUGGGAGAUGACUAUGGUUAGGGAAGGUCUGAGAGUGGGGCCCUAUGAUGGAAUUAGUGCCCUUAUGAGAAGCAACACCAGAAAGAGAGUCCUUGCGAGCUGUCUCUCCACCCCCACCAUGUGAACACAGAGCGGACGCAGCCUUGCACACCGGCAAGGCAGGGAGCCCUCACCAGGAACUGAAUCAGCCAUCACCUUGUUCCUGGACCUCCAGCCUCCAGGUGGGUCAGGUGCACUGAGUCAGUGAAUGAAUGAAGGGCUGGUUCCUGUGCCCAUGUCUGCACGUGUCCUCCCUCUGCCCGGGCAUCUCCUGGAGCCCGGUAUAGGCAGACUCCAGCAGGACCUGUGCUGCACGCCUCAACUCCCCAGGCCCCUCCCUUCACUUGUUUAGAAAUGCACUGGAAAUACUGUGGGCGCCAUUUUCACCAAUCGAGUGUGCGGAAGCUUUUAGUAAACACGGGUUACUUUGAUGCUAAUUAUAUUUAAAUAACAUGUGUGUCUACAAUUAUAUAAUUAUACAUAUAUGUAAAUACAGAAAAAAAUACCAAAAAAUAAUGAACUAUUCCCAGGCAGGGGUCUUCUGAAGGUUAUGGGAUCAUUUUGACUUGCUCUUCUUUAUACCCUUGAGUAUUCUCCAACUUGCUUACAAUGAGCGCGGAUUCUUUUUUUAAUAAGCAGAAAAAAAUGUUGCUUUUAACAUUUAGGAAGCUGUCCUGAGUAUCUGGCACAUUAAAGGGAGCUUGCUGGGCACUGUGGGAUUCAUCGAUAGGUAAGAAGGAGAGGCAGAGUCCCUGAACUCCAUCAGCCUCCAGUCUGGACAAGACCAGACACCCACACGCAAAGUGGAGCCAGGUGGUGCCCUGUGGGAAGCCAGCAUGUGCCAGGCACCUGGAGAAGGAGCCAGAACUGGGUCUGGGCUGACGGAGGGGAGACCCACAGGCUACGUGGAGAGAAGAAGCAUGUCUGGCAACGGAGGGCACGCGGCUGGAGGGGCUGAGGGGAUGCAUGAGAAAAUGAGUUUGGCUUCAAAUAUGGAUGUCACCAAAUGCCAGCACAGGGCCUCAGACUGGACACACGGCCCGUGGGUCACCUGGUGCCUGUAAAGGGGCACCGUGUUUCUUCUGAAAUAUCUCUGGCCACUGGGGAAACGCCGUGUGUGUGCUGGAGUCACAUUGCAUCCCUUGCCUGGACACAAGAGCAGGCCCCACCUUGCUCUAUCUUCAAAACGCUACAGCACGGAGCCCCCAGAAGCAGGGGUACCCCUUGGGUGGCCGCCUAAGUCAAGAGGCCUUGAUAACCGGAAAGUCACACUUUUUUCUUUCUGAAUGGUGCAAAUCAAUAGGAAAAAUCGAGAUUGUCUGAGGAAGCUUUCUUCAAACAUUACAGAACAUUGUCCACACUGAAUGUUUUGUUCAUGUUUGAGGGCUGUGUAGAGGGGAUUGAUGGAGAUGGUGGGGCUGCUAAGGCCCCCAUAUGUUCCAGAGCUUGAGGCACAGGCCCAGCACCCAGUGGGUGCCCGGUGUGAUUGCAGAGCCUUCUGAACGGUGCUGUGUGGGUCAUGGGAGCACUUGACCCAUCCCAACCAGAGGAUGGCCAUGUUGGGGGAUGUGGCUCCAGAACCCCCAGUGCCCAGCCCCUACCAGUCUUCUUCCCGAGCUGAUUUCCGAGGGCAUAAAUCUGCUUCCCUCCUGCCCCUCACUCCUCUAAAGAAAGGCCUCCUGCAUCCCUGGAUCCCCGAUUUCAUCUUUGAGGCCACCAAAAAGUCACUUCCUCCUUCCUUGGUCUAGAUGGUCCUGACCCCAGCAGAGCAGGGACUCGGCAGGGCCACUGCUUAGGGAGCAUUGAGAGCAAAGGGGCUGCUUUCAGCCGGUGGUUCUCAAAGUCAAGGCUUGAUGAAGACACGUGCAGAAAGGAGAUGGGCUGGAACUGGGGGGCCUCAACUCUGCAGCUGGGGAACCUGACCCAAGUUGACCAAAGCUGGGGGACGCAGGCAGAGUCUGGCUCUGGCACCUCCAGCUGAGCCACCACAGAGGGUCCUCAGCUGUAAAGCAGGGACCCAGGGACCAGCAGCCACAAGGCAGGGUUGCUGGGAGGGGCCAUGAGCUGAGCAGCUCCGAGGCUACACCCCAACUGUGUCUGAUUAAGUCCUUUCUGUUACUCUUUAGGACUCGCCCCCAACGCCAACCCUCCUGAC